ensembl:lncRNA
AGGCUUUGUUAUUGUUCUCUUUUUGUUCCGACACUGGCCCCUCUGUUUCCUCUACCUCCGGGUCCCAAGAGGCCACGCCGCUCUCGUUCCCCUCUUCCCUUGCCAGUUUCCACACAGAGCCGGCUCGAGAACACAUUGCCUUCUCAUGCCCUCUUUGCCACUCGGAAUCAGACGAGUGCUUGCACUCUGCCCCCGCUAAGGGACGCUAUGCCUCCCAUGCCGGGGCUGUCUGUUCCGCCUCGCUGCCCCACUGUGGGUACGCCUGUAGUUCCCUUGACCCCGCUGGAUCGGUUUCUGGGAGCCUGGCUAGAGCUCCCCAGGCUGUCCCGCUGGCUCAUCCGAAUGAUCAGGCUUGGCUACGUGAUUCAGUUCACUCUUCACAGACUUCCGUUCAAGAUGCUAACGCCCAAGCGCAUUUUCGAAUGCAUUCGUCCAUUGGAUUGGUUUGCAGCAAUCGACCUGAAGAACGCGUACUUUCAUGUCUCCAUUCUUCCUCGACACAGACCAUUUCUUCAUUUUGCUUUCGAGGGGCAGGCAUACCAUACAAGGUUCUCCCAUUCGGGUUGGCCCUGUCUGCCCGUAUCUUUACAAAAGUCACGGAGGGAGCCCUGGCUCCUCUCAGGGAACAAGGUGUCCGUAUCCUUAACUACCUCGACGACUGGCUGAUUCUAGCUCACUCUCGAGCAUGGUUGUGCAAGCACAGGGAUCUGGUGCUCAGACACCUCUUCCAUCUGGGUCUUCGGGUCAACUGGGAAAAGAGCAAACACUCCCCUGUGCAGAGGAUCUCUUUUCUCGAUAUGGUAAUAGACUCGGUCGCCAUGUUCGCGCAGCUUAUGAGCGAGUGCGCGCAGUCACUGCUGAAUUGCCAGAGUCAAUUCGAGGGCAAGAGAGCGGUUCCACUGAAACUGUUUCAGAGGCUCCUGGGGCAUAUGGCGUCUGCAGUGGCAGUAAUACCGCUCGGGUUGCUCCAUAUGAGACCGCUUCAGCACUGGCUUCACGACCGAGUCCCGAGAUGGGCAUGGCAACAGGGCACGCUCCGAGUGACCGUCACUCCGGCCUGCCUCCGAAACCUUCACCCCGUGGUUGGACCUCUCAUUUCUACGGGCUGGCGUUCCCCUAGAACCAGUGUCCAGACAUGUUGUUGUGUCAACAGAUGCCUCUGCCACGGGCUGGGGUGCCAUGUGCAACAAGCAUGCUGCGUCAGGUUCCUGGACAGGACCGCGACUUCAGUGGCAUGUCAAUUUCUUCGAGUUGCUAGCGGUACGGCUUGCUCUGCACUGCUUCAGGGCCCUGCUGAAGGACAAGCACAUUCUGGUCCGUACGGACAACACUGCAACUGUAGCGUACCGUCAGGGUGGUCUACGCUCCCGCCACAUGUCGCAACUUGCCCGGCCUCUCAUCUUAUGGAGUCAGAAGCAUCUGAGGUUGCUUCGUGCCAUUCACAUUCCGGGCAGGCUCAAUCGUGCAGCCGACGAGCUUUCACAUCAGCAGUCUCGCCCCGGGGAAUGGAGACUCCACCCCCAGUUGGUUCAGCUGAUUUGCGAACACUUCGGAGACACUCAGGUAGACCUGUUUGCCUCUCCAGAAAAUUCCCACUGUCAGUUGUUUUACUCCCUGACCGAGGGCACCCUUGGCAGGGACGCUCUAGUGCACAGCUGGCCGCUGGGCCUGCACAAGUAUGA